rnacentral:lncRNA from 1 species
UUAUAGCCUUGAUACCUCUGCCUUGAUUGCCAAAUCUAAUACUUCUACUCAACACUAGACCUAUUCUUCCAACUACUCCAUCAAUAUAUCAGCACUAACAUAAUGAUUUAAUAUUAGGAUAUCAACCAAAAAAAUAAUUGCCAGCAUGUAUCAUAGUAAAAUCUCAUUUUGUUUCUUUACCAAUGUAAGCUAAUAAUACAUCUAUUAAUAUUCAAGCUCAUCUAUGGCAUCAAUGGCUAAGCUAUAUCAAUUCAAAUUAUUUUCGUUAAUUCAUUAAAUACAACGUGGUCACAAGCUUAAUAAUUUAAAAAAUCUUGCUUCAUAUUUGCUUUGGAUGCA